GAUGAAUAUAAUAUUUUUGAUAACUUACUGACUGAUAAACAGUCCAAUCACACAUCAGGUUCUAUAGUUGCAUUCAUCCUCUCUUACUGAGGAUGAAGUAAUCAUGUUUGGAAGGACAACGACAGUUUUAAUAGAAUCAGUUUUAUUAAUGAGAAACUUAUAAAGUCACCACUGCUGAGUCAGUUACUUUGCAGUGAGACAGAAAAACUCUCGCCACCCAGGUUUUCUUGUAACUCCAUGUGACCGUGCAAAAAAGAUCUUGAUUUCAUCAAAAAAGCAAAAAAAGGAUUAAUUCAAGGAGGCUGAAUACUGUGAGUCAAUACAAUCCCCUAAAUGAUCUGUUCUUUGGUCAGCUGAAGCUGUGAGUCUGUUAGCCAGGAGGAAGAGGAGGAAGAGGAGGAAGAGGAGGAGCUGAUCUGUCCCUGAUCUCUAAAGAGACUCAAACUUCCUCCUUCAGCUCAGCUCAACUCUCCAACAUUAACUCUGCUCAACAUGCUGUCUCUGCUCACAUCUGGAUUCACUCUGCUGGUUCUGAUCACUGGAUCAGGUGUAAACUGUCAACAACUCACUGCAGCGAAGACUGAGGAGUUCAGUUCAGAGGGCAGCUCUGUUACUCUGACCUGUAGUUACACCAAAGAUUCUGCUAAUUAUUUAUUCUGGUAUCGACAAAAUCCAGGAGAACCUCCAGAGUUCCUGAGGUCUCACUCACCUUCAGGUGGAUCAGAACAUCUGGACAGGAUGACAUUUAAAGGAAGCAAAGAAGAAAUGUCCAUGAAGAUCUCCUCUGCUGCAGUGACAGACUCUGCUGUGUACUACUGCGCUGUGCAGCCCACAGUGACAGGAAACACCAGAACCCUGUACAAAAACCUGCAGUACUCCACAGAAGCCACUAGAGGGCCUCACUCCCUGUUAAACCACUAAAACCUGCAGU